rnacentral:lncRNA from 1 species
CAAACAAUUCCCACUGAACUAUUAUGGUUGAAUGGCAGUGGGCACUUGGUGGAUCGUUCAAGCCACAGGGGUGGAAAAUCUAUUCGUGGCAGGCGUAUUAAUGCAAAAGUCCUUUUGUAUUUGAAACCUUAUAAUUCUUCUCACAUGUAUUUAAACAAUCUAUUGAAAAAUUCUGGAAGGAAGGAAGGAAGGAAGGAAGGAAGAAAGGAAGGAAGGAAGGAAGGAAGGAAGGAAGGAAGGAAGGAAGGAAGGAAGGGCAUCUACUGGAGAACCUGAAAUAACCAAGCACUUAGGACGGUUAAAAAUCAAUUGCUUUGAAGAGAGUUUUUCUUAAUUUUUGAUAAUAUUUUGCCAAUUAUCAAUCAAACUCAGAUGGAAUUAUUGGACAGAAAAUUAGAAUUGUCUAAUUAUUUUAGAAAGUUAUUUUAAAUAUUCCUCAGCUAACAGGGAUAUCUGUGUUAUGGUUGAUCCAAAAAUAACAUCAAAGAUUUAAAAAGUUGUUAAUUAAAGAUUUGUCUUGCUAUUAAUGUAUCCUUCUAUAACAUGACAUAAGAAUUGUCAACCUUGAGUGUGAAUUGUAAGCUGCAAUACCAGAAAUAUUGAUCAUAAGAAUAUUGUGAUUUAAGCACACAUGUUGCUUGAAAUGUGAAUAUUUAAUCUGUUCAUAUAUAUUUGAAACAUAACUAGUGUGCCAGAAACAUUUGAAAGAAUCAUCUAGUGGCUUUGUAUUCUGAGUUUUGUAAUGAAAAACUCAUUAAGUUCCUGCCAGUACUUUGUAUUAAGAAACCUUGUAAGGUACUUCUAAUGACUGCUGUGACAUUUAAAUUACUAUUUAUUCUUUAUUAAAUCUUGAAUAUUUAUUAUGUUGUACCCAGCAAUUUCAGUUUUGUACUAUUACCUUUUCUGAUCAAUAAAGGAAGUAAAAGAACAUUUCCA